rnacentral:rRNA from 2 species
CGAACGGCAGCACAGAAGAGCUUGCUCUUUGGGUGGCGAGUGGCGGACGGGUGAGUAAUGUCUGGGAAACUGCCCGAUGGAGGGGGAUAACUACUGGAAACGGUAGCUAAUACCGCAUAACGUCGCAAGACCAAAGUGGGGGACCUUCGGGCCUCACACCAUCGGAUGUGCCCAGAUGGGAUUAGCUAGUAGGUGGGGUAAUGGCUCACCUAGGCGACGAUCCCUAGCUGGUCUGAGAGGAUGACCAGCCACACUGGAACUGAGACACGGUCCAGACUCCUACGGGAGGCAGCAGUGGGGAAUAUUGCACAAUGGGCGCAAGCCUGAUGCAGCCAUGCCGCGUGUAUGAAGAAGGCCUUCGGGUUGUAAAGUACUUUCAGCGGGGAGGAAGGCGGUGAGGUUAAUAACCUUGCCGAUUGACGUUACCCGCAGAAGAAGCACCGGCUAACUCCGUGCCAGCAGCCGCGGUAAUACGGAGGGUGCAAGCGUUAAUCGGAAUUACUGGGCGUAAAGCGCACGCAGGCGGUCUGUUAAGUCAGAUGUGAAAUCCCCGGGCUUAACCUGGGAACUGCAUUUGAAACUGGCAGGCUUGAGUCUCGUAGAGGGGGGUAGAAUUCCAGGUGUAGCGGUGAAAUGCGUAGAGAUCUGGAGGAAUACCGGUGGCGAAGGCGGCCCCCUGGACGAAGACUGACGCUCAGGUGCGAAAGCGUGGGGAGCAAACAGGAUUAGAUACCCUGGUAGUCCACGCCGUAAACGAUGUCGACUUGGAGGUUGUGCCCUUGAGGCGUGGCUUCCGGAGCUAACGCGUUAAGUCGACCGCCUGGGGAGUACGGCCGCAAGGUUAAAACUCAAAUGAAUUGACGGGGGCCCGCACAAGCGGUGGAGCAUGUGGUUUAAUUCGAUGCAACGCGAAGAACCUUACCUGGCCUUGACAUCCAGAGAAACUUAGCAGAGAUGCUUUGGUGCCUUCGGGAACUCUGAGACAGGUGCUGCAUGGCUGUCGUCAGCUCGUGUUGUGAAAUGUUGGGUUAAGUCCCGCAACGAGCGCAACCCUUAUCCUUUGUUGCCAGCGGCUCGGCCGGGAACUCAAAGGAGACUGCCGGUGAUAAACCGGAGGAAGGUGGGGAUGACGUCAAGUCAUCAUGGCCCUUACGGCCAGGGCUACACACGUGCUACAAUGGCGCAUACAAAGAGAAGCGACCUCGCGAGAGCAAGCGGACCUCAUAAAGUGCGUCGUAGUCCGGAUUGGAGUCUGCAACUCGACUCCAUGAAGUCGGAAUCGCUAGUAAUCGUAGAUCAGAAUGCUACGGUGAAUACGUUCCCGGGCCUUGUACACACCGCCCGUCACACCAUGGGAGUGGGUUGCAAAAGAAGUAGGUAGCUUAACCUUCGGGAGGGCGCUUACCACU